CUGAAAUCGUAUUCAAUGAACAACAUCAACAUCAACAUUCUCUCGACAUCGGAUUAUGGGCAUCCAAAAGAUGAAUAUAAACUGGGGUGCCGUCUUUGCACUUAACUUGCUCUACCUUUUCUUCUCAUGGCUUACAUUUCAAACAAGACAGAUAAGCCUUGAGAUGGAAAAGAAUAAGGAACAAAAAAGAGGUGAAAAGAUAAAAGAGGAGCAACCUAGAACAGUUAAAAGAGAAAGGAAGAAAAUUAGAGUCCGAUCCAAAGAAUCGAAUCAAAGGAAAAAGUGACGUGCAUCUUUUUGGACUGACUGUAUUUAUUUUGUUUAACCCUUACUUUGGGAAAAGUCAAAUUUUGUCUUGAGAGUAAGAAACAACAACAACUCCAAAGUAAUGUGUAUACAGAUCAAACUUUGCAACAUUUGUAAAUAAAUUAUUGAUGCCAAGUUUGGUUCAAAACCUUGUUCAAUUCAAUGAUCUUAUGUUUUAGUUUUGAAAUAAAGCAUUGCAUUUCAA